rnacentral:rRNA from 1 species
UUAGAGUUUGAUCCUGGCUCAGGAUGAACGCUAGCGACAGGCCUAACACAUGCAAGUCGAGGGGUAACAGGGGGCUCGCCCCCGCUGACGACCGCGGCACGGGUGAGUAACGCGUAUGCAACCUGCCUGUAACAGCGGGAUAGCUCCCUGAAAGGGGAAUUAACACCGCAUAAGACCACGCUCUCGCAUGGGGACGGGGUAAAAUAUUUAUAGGUUACAGAUGGGCAUGCGUGACAUUAGUUAGUUGGUGAGGUAACGGCUCACCAAGACUGCGAUGUCUAGGGGUUCUGAGAGGAAGGUCCCCCACACUGGAACUGAGACACGGUCCAGACUCCUACGGGAGGCAGCAGUGAGGAAUAUUGGUCAAUGGACGCAAGUCUGAACCAGCCAUGUCGCGUGCAGGAUGACUGCCCUAUGGGUUGUAAACUGCUUUUAUAUUGGAAGAAUUGCGCUUACGAGUUAAGCGUUUGACGGUACAUUAUGAAUAAGGAUCGGCUAACUCCGUGCCAGCAGCCGCGGUAAUACGGAGGAUCCGAGCGUUAUCCGGAUUUAUUGGGUUUAAAGGGUGCGUAGGCGGAAAUGUAAGUCAGUGGUGAAAUCCUGCAGCUUAACUGUAGAAUAGCCGUUGAAACUGUGUUUCUUGAGUACAUUUGAGGUAGGCGGAAUGUGGUGUGUAGCGGUGAAAUGCAUAGAUAUACCACAGAACACCGAUUGCGAAGGCAGCUUACUAAACUGUCACUGACGCUGAUGCACGAAAGCGUGGGUAUCAAACAGGAUUAGAUACCCUGGUAGUCCACGCUGUAAACGAUGAAUACUAGGUGUAGGGGUUGUCAUGACCUCUGUGCCGCCGCUAACGCAUUAAGUAUUCCGCCUGGGGAGUACGGUCGCAAGAUUAAAACUCAAAGGAAUUGACGGGGGCCCGCACAAGCAGCGGAGCAUGUGGUUUAAUUUGAAGCAACGCGAAGAACCUUACCUAGACUUGACAUCUCCUGCAUUACUCUUAAUCGAGGAAGUCCCUUCGGGGACAGGAUGACAGGUGGUGCAUGGUUGUCGUCAGCUCGUGUCGUGAGAUGUUGGGUUAAGUCCCGCAACGAGCGCAACCCUUAUUGUUAGUUGCCAUCAUUAAGUUGGGCACUCUAGCGAGACUGCCCGGGUUAACCGGGAGGAAGGUGGGGAUGACGUCAAAUCAUCAUGCCCCUUAUGUCUAGGGCUACACACGUGCUACAAUGGUCGGUACAAUAAGACGCAAGCCCGCGAGGGGGAGCAAAACUGGAAAACCGAUCUCAGUUCGGAUUGUAGGCUGAAACUCGCCUACAUGAAGCUGGAGUUGCUAGUAAUCGCGAAUCAGCAUGUCGCGGUGAAUACGUUCCCGGGCCUUGCACACACCGCCCGUC